UACGUAGGGGGCAAGCGUUGUCCGGAUUUAUUGGGCGUAAAGAGCUCGUAGGCGGCCUGUUGCGUCCGCUGUGAAAGCCCGGGGCUUAACCCCGGGUCGGCAGUGGAUACGGGCAGGCUAGAGGUAGGUAGGGGAGAAUGGAAUUCCCGGUGUAGCGGUGAAAUGCGCAGAUAUCGGGAGGAACACCGGUGGCGAAGGCGGUUCUCUGGGCCGAUACUGACGCUGAGGAGCGAAAGCGUGGGUAGCAAACAGG
rnacentral:rRNA from 1 species